GUGUUUGGAAUGGAGUUUGCUCCGAAAUCUUUUUUUUGUCAAUCCUUUUGAAAGGAGAAGAAAUAAAACUACAUGUCAAUGUCUUUUCCUGUCAUUUUUUCUUAAGUUUUCUUUCUUGCUUUCUUCUUUAUGAUCUUCAAAAUUGUUAUUCUAUGUUGUUUUUUUCCCUGACUAAAAGUAGUCUUUUUCUUCUUCUUCCUCUUAUUUGAAAGUUUGUUCGUGUUGAAUAAAUGGAAAAACUGAUCUCGGACCAGGCUUCAUUCCUCACACGUACCU